UCGUGUUCCAGGGUUUCUGCCUGUCCUUCAGGGAAAACUAUAUCUGACACUGGUUUAUUAAAAAGCUGCCUGUGGUACCAGAGUCUCGCUAAAUCGCUAAACCCCUAAACCCUAGGCUGGACUCCAACUUGUGAUCCUCCUGCCUCCCAGAGACUGAAUUCCAGGCCUGUGCAAAGGACCAGUUCUGCAGCAAAAUACCACAAUGUUCCGAGAUUUGCUGGAACGCCCAGGGAUCGGCCCGCUGACAAGGAUGUGUAAGAAGUGUAGAACCUACGAGUGCUUCCUUCUUUCCUUGUUGGGAUUCGUGGCUGUGAUUCUGGGAACCGUCCUCAUCGCGCAGGCCCACUUGCGCCCCACGGCGUUCACCGUGGGAAUCGUACUGAUAGCGGUGAGCGUGUUCAUAGUCACCCUGGCCACUUCACUGGCGUGGUGCAGAGCCGAAGAGACGUCGGAGAGAAGCCUGAACGUGAGGCUGCAGGGACGGACUGACUGGGACAGUGCUCUGCAGGAGUCUGUGGAGACAGCCAGCACCACCCUGUGACACUGUGGAGCACUCGAUAU